CAGUAGCCGCGGUAAUACGAAGGGGGCUAGCGUUGCUCGGAUUUACUGGGCGUAAAGGGCGCGUAGGCGGGCGAUUUAGUCAGGGGUGAAAUCCCAAGGCUCAACCUUGGAACUGCCUUUGAUACUGAUCGUCUUGAGUUCGAGAGAGGUAAGUGGAACUGCGAGUGUAGAGGUGAAAUUCGUAGAUAUUCGCAAGAACACCAGUGGCGAAGGCGGCUCACUGGCCCGGUACUGACGCUGAGGCACGAAAGCGUGGGGAGCAAACAGGAUUAGAUACCCCACUAGUCCCUGUCUCUUAUAC
rnacentral:rRNA from 1 species